rnacentral:rRNA from 1 species
UACGUAGGGGGCUAGCGUUGUCCGGAAUCAUUGGGCGUAAAGCGCGCGUAGGCGGCCCGGUAAGUCCGCUGUGAAAGUCAAAGGCUCAACCUUUGAAUGUCAGCGGAUACUGCCGGGCUAGAGUCCGGAAGAGGCGAGUGGAACUCCUGGUGUAGCGGUGGAAUGCGCAGAUAUCGGGAGGAACACCAAUUGCGAAGGCAGCUCGCUGGGACGUCACUGACGCUGAGACGCGAAAGCGUGGGGAGCAAACAGGAUAAGAA